UACGUAGGGCGCAAGCGUUGUCCGGAAUUAUUGGGCGUAAAGAGCUCGUAGGCGGCUUGUCGCGUCGGAUGUGAAAGCCCGGGGCUUAACCCCGGGUCUGCAUUCGAUACGGGCAGGCUAGAGUUCGGUAGGGGAGAUCGGAAUUCCAGGUGUAGCGGUGAAAUGCGUAGAUAUCUGGAGGAAUACCGGUGGCGAAGGCGGCAUCCUGGACCAUUACUGACGCUGAUGCGCGAAAGCUAGGGGAGCAAACGGGG
rnacentral:rRNA from 1 species